rnacentral:rRNA from 1 species
ACGAACGCUGGCGGCGUGCUUAACCCCUGCAAGUCGCACGGAAAGGCCCUGCUUGCAGGGUACUCGAGUGGCGAACGGGUGAGUAACACGUGGGUGAUCUGCCCUGCACUUCGGGAUAAGCCUGGGAAACUGGGUCUAAUACCGGAUAGGAGCCAUUUUUAGUGUGAUGGUUGGAAAGUUUUUUCGGUGUAGGAUGAGCUCGCGGCCUAUCAGCUUGUUGGUGGGGUAAUGGCCUACCAAGGCGGCGACGGGUAGCCGGCCUGAGAGGGUGGACGGCCACAUUGGGACUGAGAUACGGCCCAGACUCCUACGGGAGGCAGCAGUGGGGAAUAUUGCACAAUGGGCGCAAGCCUGAUGCAGCGACGCCGCGUGGGGGAUGACGGCCUUCGGGUUGUAAACUCCUUUCGCUAGGGACGAAGCUUUUUGUGACGGUACCUAGAUAAGAAGCACCGGCUAACUACGUG